GCCUAGUUAGCUUGGUUGGUAGCGCGUCUGCCUUAUAAGUGCUGGACCGCGGGUUCGAUUCCCGCCCGGGGCG
rfam:Asian citrus Psyllid, Diaphorina citri - Florida Strain, whole genome shotgun sequence.